rnacentral:rRNA from 1 species
CAGCAGCCGCGGGAAUACAGAGGUCCCGAGCGUUGUUCGGAUUCACUGGGCGUAAAGGGUGUGUAGGAGGUUUGGUAAGUCAGGUGUGAAAUCCCACAGCUCAACUGUGGAACUGCAUUCGAUACUGCCGAACUAGAGGCUUGGAGGGGGAAGCGGAAUUCUUGGUGUAGCGGUGAAAUGCGUAGAUAUCAAGAGGAACACCGGUGGCGAAGGCGGCUUCCUGGACAAGUCCUGACUCUGAAACACGAAAGCCAGGGGAGCGAAUGGGAUUAGAUACCCCCGUAGUCCCUGUCUCUUAUAC